rnacentral:rRNA from 1 species
AGAGUUUGAUCAUGGCUCAGAGCGAACGCUGGCGGCAGGCUUAACACAUGCAAGUCGAGCGGGCGUAGCAAUACGUCAGCGGCAGACGGGUGAGUAACGCGUGGGAACGUACCUUUUGGUUCGGAACAACACAGGGAAACUUGUGCUAAUACCGGAUAAGCCCUUACGGGGAAAGAUUUAUCGCCGAAAGAUCGGCCCGCGUCUGAUUAGCUAGUUGGUGAGGUAACGGCUCACCAAGGCGACGAUCAGUAGCUGGUCUGAGAGGAUGAUCAGCCACAUUGGGACUGAGACACGGCCCAAACUCCUACGGGAGGCAGCAGUGGGGAAUAUUGGACAAUGGGCGCAAGCCUGAUCCAGCCAUGCCGCGUGAGUGAUGAAGGCCCUAGGGUUGUAAAGCUCUUUUGUGCGGGAAGAUAAUGACGGUACCGCAAGAAUAAGCCCCGGCUAACUUCGUGCCAGCAGCCGCGGUAAUACGAAGGGGGCUAGCGUUGCUCGGAAUCACUGGGCGUAAAGGGUGCGUAGGCGGGGUCUUUAAGUCAGGGGUGAAAUCCUGGAGCUCAACUCCAGAACUGCCUUUGAUACUGAAGAUCUUGAGUUCGGGAGAGGUGAGUGGAACUGCGAGUGUAGAGGUGAAAUUCGUAGAUAUUCGCAAGAACACCAGUGGCGAAGGCGGCUCACUGGCCCGAUACUGACGCUGAGGCACGAAAGCGUGGGGAGCAAACAGGAUUAGAUACCCCCGUAGUCC